rnacentral:rRNA from 1 species
GGGUUGUGAGGUUAAGCGACUAAGCGUACACGGUGGAUGCCUAGGCAGUCAGAGGCGAUGAAGGGCGUGCUAAUCUGCGAAAAGCGUCGGUAAGCUGAUAUGAAGCGUAAUAACCGACGAUACCCGAAUGGGGAAACCCAGUGCAAUUCGUUGCACUAUUGCAUGGUGAAUACAUAGCCAUGCAAGGCGAACCGGGGGAACUGAAACAUCUAAGUACCCCGAGGAAAAGAAAUCAACCGAGAUUCCCCCAGUAGCGGCGAGCGAACGGGGAAGAGCCCAGAGUCUGAAUCAGUUGGUGUGUUAGUGGAAGCGUCUGGAAAGUCGCACGGUACAGGGUGAUAGUCCCGUACACAAAAACACACUGGCUGUGAACUCGAUGAGUAGGGCGGGACACGUGACAUCCUGUCUGAAUAUGGGGGGACCAUCCUCCAAGGCUAAAUACUCCUGACUGACCGAUAGUGAACCAGUACCGUGAGGGAAAGGCGAAAAGAACCCCGGCGAGGGGAGUGAAAUAGAACCUGAAACCGUGUACGUACAAGCAGUGGGAGCACCUUCGUGGUGUGACUGCGUACCUUUUGUAUAAUGGGUCAGCGACUUAUAUUUUGUAGCAAGGUUAACCGAAUAGGGGAGCCGUAGGGAAACCGAGUCUUAACUGGGCGUCUAGUUGCAAGGUAUAGACCCGAAACCCGGUGAUCUAGCCAUGGGCAGGUUGAAGGUUGGGUAACACUAACUGGAGGACCGAACCGACUAAUGUUGAAAAAUUAGCGGAUGACUUGUGGCUGGGGGUGAAAGGCCAAUCAAACCGGGAGAUAGCUGGUUCUCCCCGAAAGCUAUUUAGGUAGCGCCUCGUGAACUCAUCUUCGGGGGUAGAGCACUGUUUCGGCUAGGGGUCCAUCCCGGAUUACCAAACCGAUGCAAACUCCGAAUACCGAAGAAUGUUAUCACGGGAGACACACGGCGGGUGCUAACGUCCGUCGUGAAGAGGGAAACAACCCAGACCGCCAGCUAAGGUCCCAAAGUCAUGGUUAAGUGGGAAACGAUGUGGGAAGGCAUAGACAGCCAGGAUGUUGGCUUAGAAGCAGCCAUCAUUUAAAGAAAGCGUAAUAGCUCACUGGUCGAGUCGGCCUGCGCGGAAGAUGUAACGGGGCUAAACCAUGCACCGAAGCUGCGGCAGCGACGCUUAGGCGUUGUUGGGUAGGGGAGCGUUCUGUAAGCCGUUGAAGGUGGCCUGUGAGGGCUGCUGGAGGUAUCAGAAGUGCGAAUGCUGACAUAAGUAACGAUAAUGCGGGUGAAAAACCCGCACGCCGGAAGACCAAGGGUUCCUGUCCAACGUUAAUCGGGGCAGGGUGAGUCGACCCCUAAGGCGAGGCUGAAAAGCGUAGUCGAUGGGAAACAGGUUAAUAUUCCUGUACUGGGUGUGACUGCGAAGGGGGGACGGAGAAGGCUAGGCUAGCCGGGCGACGGUUGUCCCGGUUUAAGCAUGUAGGCGGAGCGACUUGGUAAAUCCGGUUGCUUAUCAACGCUGAGGUGUGAUGACGAGCCACUACGGUGGUGAAGUAGUUGAUGCCAAGCUUCCAGGAAAAGCCUCUAAGCAUCAGGUGACAUUCAAUCGUACCCCAAACCGACACAGGUGGUCAGGUAGAGAAUACUCAGGCGCUUGAGAGAACUCGGGUGAAGGAACUAGGCAAAAUGGUGCCGUAACUUCGGGAGAAGGCACGCUGGCAUUAGGUAAAGAGACUUGCUCUCGGCGCCGAAGCCAGUCGCAGAUACCAGCUGGCUGCAACUGUUUAAUAAAAACACAGCACUGUGCAAACACGAAAGUGGACGUAUACGGUGUGACGCCUGCCCGGUGCUGGAAGGUUAAUUGAUGGGGUCAGCCGCAAGGCGAAGCUCUUGAUCGAAGCCCCAGUAAACGGCGGCCGUAACUAUAACGGUCCUAAGGUAGCGAAAUUCCUUGUC